rnacentral:misc_RNA from 1 species
UUCACAAACCAAGAUGGCAGGUAACCUCGUGUGCCGGGUUCACCCGGUUGUUCUCUUCAGCAUUAUUGACUCGUUCGAGAGAAGAAAUGAAGAUGCAAGAAGAGUCAUAGGAACAUUACUCGGAUCCUUUGACAAGGGGGUAGUGGAUGUAACAAACUGUUUCUGUGUCCCACACAAUGAAUCAGAAGACGAGGUGGCAGCAGACCUUGAAUAUGCUAGAAAUAUGUAUGAACUCCACAAAAAAGUCAACCCUGCUGAAAUAAUAGUGGGAUGGUAAGUUGUAAUGUACAUGUAUGUAGUGAUACAGCACUAUCUAUGACUAGAUUGCGGUAUAUCAAUUUGAAAAGUGAUAGGCUGAGAUACAGUAAUGCUAAUUAUCAACUGGUAUUUCACUCUCAGCAAAAAUAUGGUUGAGAAUGGUAAGCAAAAAUUUGAAUUUCAUUUCAUUCAAAUGAAAUCCAUACAUUGUGAAGUGAAAGUUACUUUUACAUGCAUUUUUAUUUUGAUCAAAGAUUACACUUCCUAAUUUGAACACAACUGUAAACUUACAUAUGGUAAUCUAGCACUCUCAGAAAUAGUGCAGAGAGUCCUCUUCAUAUUACAUGUACUCAAAAUACUAAAGUGUUCAGAAAUGAGCCUAUACACAUAUUUCCCAAUCAUACACUAGAGUGUACCUAAAAUUAAUUUCCAGAGAAGCAAACGAAAUGCACUGCUCUAUUAUUAGAAUUUAUAAUAUACGAAAUAAAGAUACAUGUAUUUAAUAGGUACCAUAUUUCAUGAUUCCAUAACUUGCUAUGAAUGUUUGAAUUUAUACUACUAAUACACUUUACUAGUCUAUACUAUGAUCUACAGGUAUUCCACAGGGUCUGAUGUUUCAGAACACUCAGUUCUCAUUCAUGAAUAUUACACCAGGGAAGCCAAGAACCCAGUACAUGUCACUGUAGACACUGGGCUCAAAGGCUCCAAGAUGGAUGUCAAGUGCUACGUCAGGUAUGUGUAGUCUAAUACAAUGUUUUAAAAAAACCAGACAGUAGCGAUUUUCCUAUUUAUAAGUUUAUUUCUUUCUGUAUCCAUAUUAACAAGUGAUACCAUAAUUUUCAAAUGAAUAAAAGCACUUCCAUAAAUUUUGUUUCCAAUUACUAAUCAGAAAUGGUCAGUAUUAAAGUGAUCCAUUCUCUGACCAGAGGUUGUGCUAAACAAGCUUUGCUCUGUCAACAACCAAUGUACAAGGUUCUUGUACCAACUGAAAAAAUGGGCAAAAUGUUAUUAAAUUUGACAUAUUUACCUCAUUUAUGAUUUACAAUGUAUCUAGUGUAUACACAUUUAUUUUUGCCCCUUGUAAUUUUUGCCCUUCAAAUUUUGCUACCAGUUUUGCCCCAUCUUGAAUUCGCCCAGACACAGUUUUGUUUAAAGAAAAAUAAUUUUUGACAUUGGGAUUCGCCCAAUCUUAAAUUUGCUUGCUGACAAUGAGGCAAAAGGGGUGAAAAUAAAACAGGGAUGAAUAUUUUCAUGUAGACAAUAUAAAAGAAGAAGAUUAUGAAUAAUUCAAUUUAAAUCUUUAAUACCUCAAUACAUUAUUAUUUCUAAAUCACAGUAAGAACUUUUUUGUGGUGGUAAAAAUUAAAAUCUGACAGAUGUUUGAAAGUUUUGAAUGAGCAGUUUCAGCAUGCUCCCGAUCCAUUGUUGAAAUCAGCAGCAAUGUCAUCUCCAGUGUUCUCUCUUUAGCUUUAAUCCAAAGACUAUUUUUCCAAUGUUGACAGAGAUGUAUAAAGCAAAGCUUGUGUAGCAUAACGUCUGAAAAGUGAAUGAAAGUAAUCAAGUUUAUUAAGAUCAGCCCAUCAGUAAUCGAUACACGUCUACUUGUUUAGAAAUAAUGGCAUUCUGCCCUAACAGAUUGAAAGUUGAAUCAUGCUCAUAUGAGAUACUUUUGUUUAGUGCUAACAUUGGAGUACCUGGAAAGACGGUGGGAUGCAUGUUCACUCCAGUGCAAGUUGAAAUUAACACGUACGAGCCAGAAAAAGUCGGGGUGGAUUUGAUCCAACAAGGCAAAUCUAUCGGUAAUAAUAAGCGCACGGUGAGCAUGGUCAGUGAUUUGACCCAGGUAGAGCGGGCAUGCUCCAAUCUCCAGGAGAAGCUGACGCUGGUGUUGGAGUAUGUGGAAGAAGUGCUGGCCAACAAGAUUCAACCUGACACAAGUAUUGGAAGAUAUUUACUAGAUUUAGUAAAUAAUGUCCCCAAAAUUGAACCAGAGGAAUUUGAAACCAUGCUUAACUCAAAUAUGAAGGAUCUUCUGAUGGUAGUCUACCUUGCUAAUCUGACCAGAACCCAGCUUGCUCUGAACGAGAAAUUGCAGACACUGACAGUGUAGACCAACAAUUGCUCCGUUUGUGUAUUGAUACCUGGUUAUCUGCCAUCAUUGACUGACAGUCUGAGGACUUGCCACCACACAGGACAAUGACUAUUAUUUAUUAUAGCAACAUGUGCAUUAAUUUUCUCAUUAAAAUAUGUAAUACC